UCCAGUUUAACACUGGCAGUCCCUCUAGAGUGCCCAACUUAAUGAUGGCAACAAGAGGCGUGGGUUGCGCUCGUUACGGGACUUAACCCAACAUCUCACGACACGAGCUGACGACAGCCAUGCAGCACCUGUCUCUCAGUUCCCUUGCGGGAAAAGCCGGCUUUCACCGGCGGUCCGAGGAUGUCAAGACCAGGAUAAGGUUCUUCGCGUUGCGUCGAAUUAAACCACAUGCUCCACUGCUUGUGCGGGUCCCCGUCAAUUUCUUUGAGUUUUAAUCUUGCGACCGUACUCCCCAGGCGGGAUGCUUAACGCGUUAGCUUCGUCACUGAAAGGGUUAACACUCCCAACGACAAGCAUCCAUCGUUUACGGCAUGGACUAC
rnacentral:misc_RNA from 1 species